UACGGGGGGGGCAAGCGUUGUUCGGAAUUACUGGGCGUAAAGGGCUCGUAGGUGGCCAACUAAGUCAGACGUGAAAUCCCUCGGCUUAACCGGGAACUGCGUCUGAUACUGGAUGGCUUGAGUUUGGGAGAGGGAUGCGGAAUUCCAGGUGUAGCGGUGAAAUGCGUAGAUAUCUGGAGGAACACCGGUGGCGAAGGCGGCAUCCUGGACCAACACUGACACUGAGGAGCGAAAGCCAGGGGAGCAAACGGG
rnacentral:rRNA from 1 species